rnacentral:ncRNA from 2 species
CCCAACGAAAGAGGUGCGGAAGUGAUGAGCGCGGGCGAGCCGGCAGGCGCGGACCCCGCGGGAGGCUAAAUCCGCCGAACUCCUUGGCCCGGCAGGGCGAGGGGUGGGCCAGCGGGGAAGACCCGCCGGACUGUCUGUGGGGGCAUCCCACAGUUGCGCUUUCCCGACG